AGUGGGAUAGCUGGGUCAAAUUGUGGUUCCAUUCCAAGUUUUAUGAGGAAUCUCCUCAGAAACGUUUUGCUUUCCAAAGUGGUUGCACCAAUUUGCAGUCCCACCAGCAAU
rnacentral:pre_miRNA from 1 species